rnacentral:misc_RNA from 1 species
CGACCAACAAGCUUAAAGCUUGGUAUUGGAUGUCAUUAAUUAGUGCAUCUUAAAAUUAGUGGCAGUGCCAUUCAGCUUCAAGCGUAGUAAAUGUCUCGCUUCUGGAGUUUGCAUGUUACACUUGCCAGAACCCCUAUAAUUAUCAAG